UGAAUCCUAGGACCCAGAAUAAGGAUUCUCUAGAGGACAGUGUUUCUACCUCUCCAGACCCAAUUCUGACACUGUCUGCUCCCCCUGUAGUGCCAGGCUUCUGUUGCACAGUUGGAGUGGACUGGAAGUCUCUCACUACUCCGGCGUGCCUCCCCCUUACCACCGACUACUUCCCUGACCGCCAGGGCCUGCAGAAUGACUACACAGAGGGCUGUUAUGAUCUCCUUCCAGAAGCAGACAUCGACAGGUCAGUGUCAGAGAAAAAGGCACUUGGCUUGGUUGGUGAGGGUUUCGGAUAUAUCCCACACAUGCAUCAGAACACUGGAUUUGUGCUGGCUUCAGCAACACAUAUAUUAAAAUUGGAACGAUAUAGAGGAGAUUAGCAUGGCCGUUAAAUAAAAAAUUUUAAAAAAA
rnacentral:lncRNA from 10 species